rnacentral:rRNA from 1 species
UACGGAGGGUGCAAGCGUUGUUCGGAAUUAUUGGGCGUAAAGGGCAGGUAGGUGGUCUUAUAAGUCUACUGUGAAAUCCCCGGGCUUAACUGGGGAACUGCGUCUGAGACUGGAUGGCUUGAGUGCAGGAGAGGAACGCGGAAUUCCAGGUGUAGCGGUGAAAUGCGUAGAUAUCAGGAGGAACACCCGUGGUGUAGACGGCCUGCUGGACGGUCACUGACGCUGAGGCACGAAAGCGUGGGGAGCAAACAGG